ACGGGUGAGUAACACGUGAGCAACCUGCCCUUCGAGGGGGACAACAGCUGAAACGGCUGCUAAUACCGCAUGAUACAGUUUGGAGGCAUCUCCGGGCUGUCAAAGAUUUUAUCGCCGAAGGAUGGGCUCGCGUCUGAUUAGAUAGUUGUGGGUAACGGCCACCAAGCCGACGAUCAGUAGCCGGACUGAGAGGUUGAACGGCCACAUUGGGACUGAGAUACGGCCCAGACUCCUACGGGAGGCAGCAGUGGGGAAUAUUGGGCAAAUGGGGGCAACCCUGACCCAGCAACGCCGCGUGGAGGAAGAAGGCUUUCGGGUUGUAAACUCCUUUGACGAGGGACGAUAGUGACGGUACCUCGAAAACAAGCCACGGCUAACUACGUGCCAGCCGCGGC
rnacentral:rRNA from 1 species